rnacentral:rRNA from 1 species
GGCCCGGUAUUCCAGCUCCAAUAGCGUAUAUUAAAGUUGUUGCAGUUAAAAAGCUCGUAGUUGAACCUUGGGUCUGGCUGGCCGGUCCGCCUCACCGCGAGUACUGGUCCGGCUGGACCUUUCCUUCUGGGGAACCUCAUGGCCUUCACUGGCUGUGGGGGGAACCAGGACUUUUACUGUGAAAAAAUUAGAGUGUUCAAAGCAGGCCUUUGCUCGAAUACAUUAGCAUGGAAUAAUAGAAUAGGACGUGCGGUUCUAUUUUGUUGGUUUCUAGGACCGCCGUAAUGAUUAAUAGGGAUAGUCGGGGGCGUCAGUAUUCAGCUGUCAGAGGUGAAAUUCUUGGAUUUGCUGAAGACUAACUACUGCGAAAGCAUUCGCCAAGGAUGUUUUCAUUAAUCAGGGAACGAAAGUUAGGGGAUCGAAGACGAUCAGAUACCGUCGUAGUCUUAACCAUAAACUAUGCCGACUAGGGAUCGGGCGGUGUUUCUAUGAUGACCCGCUCGGCACCUUACGAGAAAUCAAAGUUUUUGGGUUCUGGGGGGAGUAUGGUCGCAAGGCUGAAACUUAAAGAAAUGACGGAAGCCACUAGCAAGUCCACCAAUAUUU